rnacentral:rRNA from 1 species
AGUUUGAUCCUGGCUCAGGAUGAACGCUAGCGGCAGGCCUAAUACAUGCAAGUCGGACGGGAUAGGAGAGCUUGCUUUCCUUGAGAGUGGCGCACGGGUGCGUAACACGUAUGUAACCUACCUUUAUCAGGGGGAUAGCCUCUCGAAAGAGAGAUUAAGACCGCAUAAAAUUAUUUUAUGGCAUCAUAGAAUAAUCAAAUAUUUAUAGGAUAAAGAUGGGCAUGCGGAACAUUAGCUAGUUGGUAAGGUAAAGGCUUACCAAGGCUACGAUGUUUAGGGGAUCUGAGAGGAUGACCCCCCACACUGGUACUGAGACACGGACCAGACUCCUACGGGAGGCAGCAGUAAGGAAUAUUGGUCAAUGGGCGGAAGCCUGAACCAGCCAUGCCGCGUGCAGGAAGACGGCCCUAUGGGUUGUAAACUGCUUUUGCAGGGGAAUAAACCCCCGGUCGUGACCGGGGCUGAAUGUACUCUGAGAAUAAGGAUCGGCUAACUCCGUGCCAGCAGCCGCGGUAAUACGGAGGAUCCAAGCGUUAUCCGGAUUUAUUGGGUUUAAAGGGUGCGUAGGUGGCUUUUUAAGUCAGGGGUGAAAGACGGUAGCUUAACUAUCGCAGUGCCUUUGAUACUGAAGAGCUUGAAUACACUAGAGGUAGGCGGAAUGUGACAAGUAGCGGUGAAAUGCAUAGAUAUGUCACAGAACACCAAUUGCGAAGGCAGCUUACUAUGGUGUUAUUGACACUGAGGCACGAAAGCGUGGGGAUCAAACAGGAUUAGAUACCCUGGUAGUCCACGCCCUAAACGAUGAAUACUCGAUGUUGGCGAUAUACGGUCAGCGUCUAAGCGAAAGCGUUAAGUAUUCCACCUGGGGAGUACGCCCGCAAGGGUGAAACUCAAAGGAAUUGACGG